AUUGAACGCUAGCGGGAUGCUUUACACAUGCAAGUCGAACGAGUGGCGGACGGGUGAGUAAUGUAUGGGGACUGCCCGAUAGAGGGGGAUAACUACUCGAAAGGGUAGCUAAUACCGCAUACUAUCGGAGAACCGAUAUGGGAUUAGCUAGUAGGUGAGGUAAUGGCUCACCUAGGCGACGAUCCCUAGCUGGUCUGAGAGGAUGAUCAGUCAAACUGGGACUAGUACACGGCCCAGACUCCUACGGAGUCAGCAGUAGGGAAUAUUGCACAAUGGGCGCAAGCCUGAUGCAGCCAUGCCGCGUGUAUGAAGAAGGCCCUAGGGUUGUAAAGUACUUUCAGUCGGGAGGCGUUACCGACAGAAGAGGCACCGGCUAACUCCGUGCCAGCAGCCGCGGUAGUUC
rnacentral:rRNA from 1 species